UACAGAGGGUGCGAGCGUUAAUCGGAAUUACUGGCGUAAAGCGUGCGCAGGCGGUUUUGUAAGUUUGUCUGAAAGCCCCGGGCUCAACCUGGGAAUUGCGAUGAAGACUGCAAGGCUUGAAUCUGGCAGAGGGGGGGUAGAAUUCCACGUGUAGCAGUGAAAUGCGUAGAGAUGUGGAGGAACACCGAUGGCGAAGGCAGCCCCCUGGGUCAAGAUUGACGCUCAUGCACGAAAGCGUGGGGAGCAAACAGG
rnacentral:rRNA from 1 species